rnacentral:rRNA from 1 species
UACGUAGGGUGCAAGCGUUAAUCGGAAUUACUGGGCGUAAAGCGUGCGCAGGCGGUUUUGUAAGUCUGACGUGAAAUCCCCGGACUCAACCUGGGAAUUGCGUUGGAGACUGCAAGGCUAGAAUCUGGCAGAGGGGGGUAGAAUUCCACGUGUAGCAGUGAAAUGCGUAGAGAUGUGGAGGAACACCGAUGGCGAAGGCAGCCCCCUGGGUCAAGAUUGACGCUCAUGCACGAAAGCGUGGGGAGCAAACAGG